AGUGAACGCUGGCGGUAGGCCUAACACAUGCAAGUCGAACGGCAGCACAGAGGAGCUUGCUCCUUGGGUGGCGAGUGGCGGACGGGAGAGGAAUACAUCGGAAUCUACUCUGUCGUGGGGGAUAACGUAGGGAAACUUACGCUAAUACCGCAUACGAGCUACGGGUGAAAGCAUGGGAUCUUCGGACCUUGCGCGAUUGAAUGAGCCGAUGUCGGAUUAGCUAGUUGGCGGGGUAAAGGCCCACCAAGGCGACGAUCCGUAGCUGGUCUGAGAGGAUGAUCAGCCACACUGGAACUGAGACACGGUCCAGACUCCUACGGGAGGCAGCAGUGGGGAAUAUUGGACAAUGGGCGCAAGCCUGAUCCAGCCAUACCGCGUGGGUGAAGAAGGCCUUCGGGUUGUAAAGCCCUUUUGUUGGGAAAGAAAUCCAUCUGGUUAAUACCCGGGUGGGAUGACGGUACCCAAAGAAUAAGCACCGGCUAACUUCGUGCCAGCCGCCGCGGUAA
rnacentral:rRNA from 1 species